GACGCAUUGGUAACACCGGACUUGCUCCAGUGUUACUAAUGAGUCGCGAACGGGUGAGUAACGCGUAGGUAACCUGCCUGAUAGCGGGGGAUAACUAUUGGAAACGAUAGCUAAUACCGCAUAAGAGGAGUUAACUCAUGUUAACUGUUUAAAAGAAGCAACGGCUUCACUAUCAGAUGGACCUGCGUUGUAUUAGCUAGUAGGUAGGGUAACGGCCUACCUAGGCACCGAUACAUAGCCGACCUGAGAGGGUGAACGGCCACACUGGGACUGAGACACGGCCCAGACUCCUACGGGAGGCAGCAGUAGGGAAUCUUCGGCAAUGGACGCAAGUCUGACCGAGCAACGCCGCGUGAGUGAAGACGGUUUUCGGAUCGUAAAGCUCUGUUGUAGGGGAAGAACGUGUGUAAGAGUGGAAAGCUUACACAGUGACGGUACCCUACCAGAAAGGGACGGCUAACUACGUGCCAGCAGCCGCGGUAAUACGUAGGUCCCGAGCGUUGUCCGGAUUUAUUGGGCGUAAAGGGAGCGCAGGCGGUUUAGUAAGUCUGAAGUUAAAGGCAUUGGCUCAACCAAUGUAUGCUUUGGAAACUGUUAGACUUGAGUGCAGAAGGGGAGAGUGGAAUUCCAUGUGUAGCGGUGAAAUGCGUAGAUAUAUGGAGGAACACCGGUGGCGAAAGCGGCUCUCUGGUCUGUCACUGACGCUGAGGCUCGAAAGCGUGGGUAGCGA
rnacentral:rRNA from 1 species